GUGACUGCCAUUAACAAGCUGACUGAUUUCUGGAAAAAACAGGAGCAAGCAGGUCAAAAGAUGCCUGACUCCUGGCCUGCACUGAUCACCCUGAGAAAGGUUGGAGGUUCUGAUCUUAUAUCCUUGUCCUGGUUUCUCCCUCCUGGUUUGGACGUAAAGGUCUUAGAUAUGUCUGUCACAAUAGAGCACAAAGACGCUUCCACAGUCUAUGUCAGGUUUUUUGAUGGAGUCCCAACUCUCAGUGCUGGUCAGCAAAAUGCAGAAAUUCUUAAAGAGGUCUUGACUAAAACAGGGAU